rnacentral:rRNA from 1 species
UAGGGAAUCUUCGGCAAUGGGGGGAACCCUGACCGAGCAACGCCGCGUGAGUGAAGAAGGUUUUCGGAUCGUAAAGCUCUGUUGUUAAGGAAGGACGAGUGUGAGAAUGGAAAGUUCAUACUGUGACGGUACUUAACCAGAAAGGGACGGCUAACUACGUGCCAGCAGCCGCGGUAAUACGUAGGUCCCGAGCGUUGUCCGGAUUUAUUGGGCGUAAAGCGAGCGCAGGCGGUUAGAUAAGUCUGAAGUUAAAGGCAGUGGCUCAACCAUUGUAGGCUUUGGAAACUGUUUAACUUGAGUGCAGAAGGGGAGAGUGGAAUUCCAUGUGUAGCGGUGAAAUGCGUAGAUAUAUGGAGGAACACCGGUGGCGAAAGCGGCUCUCUGGUCUGUAACUGACGCUGAGGCUCGAAAGCGUGGGGAGCGAACAGG